rnacentral:rRNA from 1 species
AUUGAACGCUGGCGGCAGGCCUAACACAUGCAAGUCGAACGAGUGGCGGACGGGUGAGUAAUGUCUGGGAAACUGCCUGAUGGAGGGGGAUAACUACUGGAAACGGUAGCUAAUACCGCAUACAAUUGGAUGUGCCCAGAUGGGAUUAGCUAGUAGGUGGGGUAAAGGCUCACCUAGGCGACGAUCCCUAGCUGGUCUGAGAGGAUGACCGGCCACCCUGGAUCGCAGUCGUGGUCCAGCCUCCUACGGGAGGCAGCAGGGGGGAAUAUUGCACAAGGGGCGCAAGCCUGAUGCAGCCAUGCCGCGUGUAUGAAGAAGGCCUUCGGGUUGUAAAGUACUUUCAGCGUGUAGGCGUUACCCGCAGAAGAAGCACCGGCUAACUCCGUGCCAGCAGCCGCGGUAAUAC